ensembl:snRNA U5 U5 spliceosomal RNA
CAUCGAUGGUUUUUCUUCAGAUCGUAUAAAUCUUUCGCCUUUUACUAAAGAUUUCCGUGAAGGACUUCCUCUUUUAUUUUAAGUCAGCUCGAUUUGACAUGAUUCAAUGGUUUUGU